UCUGAUGGGUGUUACAAUGA
rnacentral:siRNA from 1 species